CCUACGGGAGGCAGCAGUGGGGAAUUUUGGACAAUGGGCGAAAGCCUGAUCCAGCAAUGCCGCGUGAGUGAAGAAGGCCUUCGGGUUGUAAAGCUCUUUUGUCAGGGAAGAAACGGUGGGAGCUAAUAUCUCCUGCUAAUGACGGUACCUGAAGAAUAAGCACCGGCUAACUACGUGCCAGCAGCCGCGGUAAUACGUAGGGUGCAAGCGUUAAUCGGAAUUACUGGGCGUAAAGCGUGCGCAGGCGGUUUUGUAAGUCUGAUGUGAAAUCCCCGGGCUCAACCUGGGAAUUGCAUUGGAGACUGCAAGGCUAGAAUCUGGCAGAGGGGGGUAGAAUUCCACGUGUAGCAGUGAAAUGCGUAGAUAUGUGGAGGAACACCGAUGGCGAAGGCAGCCCCCUGGGUCAAGAUUGACGCUCAUGCACGAAAGCGUGGGGAGCAAACAGGAUUAGAUACCCUGGUAGUCCACGCCCUAAACGAUGUCUACUAGUUGUCGGGUCUUAAUUGACUUGGUAACGCAGCUAACGCGUGAAGUAGACCGCCUGGGGAUCGGUCGCAAGNUUAAAACGUCAAAUGAAUUGAGG
rnacentral:rRNA from 1 species